UGCCUAGCAACUCCUAUCCUUACCUCCUCGCGAUACUGGCCAGGAUACUGGCCUUAGGGAAGAUAGAGUAACCAACCCCGGUGGGAACUUUGGUCGUAUGCUGACAGAAAGAG
rnacentral:ribozyme from 1 species